GAAAUGCGAUACGUAGUGUGAAUUGCAGAAUUCCGUGAACCAUCGAAUCUUUGAACGCAAAUUGCGCCCAAGGCUUCGGCUAAGGGCAUGUCUGCCUCAGCGUCGGCGCACCUCUCUCACCCCUUUUCAUUCUUUGAAUGUUUUGGUGGUGUUGACCUGGCCCUCUCGGCGUCUUCAUUCCUCGGAGUGAAGUGCUGCCGUGUUGGCUGAAACAAAGAGGCUUGAGCAGCGACCUCGUCUUCUUGUGAAGACCUUGGCGUCAGCUUGGUAGGUCGGGUUUAUCCCAACUCCCGCUGUUGCCCUGUGGUCCUGCUGGGAGCCGCGCAGGAAAUUUUACUUUUAAAUUUCGACCUGAGCUCAGGCAAGGCUACCCGCUGAACUUAA
rnacentral:misc_RNA from 1 species